rnacentral:rRNA from 1 species
CAAGGGGAGCGGCAGACGGGUGAGUAACGCGUGGGAACGUGCCCCUCGGUUCGGAAUAACUCAGGGAAACUUGAGCUAAUACCGGAUACGCGCGUAAGCAGAAAGAUUUAUCGCCGAAGGAGCGGCCCGCGUCCGAUUAGCUAGUUGGUGAGGUAAUGGCUCACCAAGGCGACGAUCGGUAGCUGGUCUGAGAGGAUGAUCAGCCACACUGGGACUGAGACACGGCCCAGACUCCUACGGGAGGCAGCAGUGGGGAAUAUUGGACAAUGGGCGCAAGCCUGAUCCAGCCAUGCCGCGUGAGUGAUGAAGGCCCUAGGGUUGUAAAGCUCUUUCGCCAGGGACGAUAAUGACGGUACCUGGAUAAGAAGCCCCGGCUAACUUCGUGCCAGCAGCCGCGGUAAUACGAAGGGGGCUAGCGUUGUUCGGAAUCACUGGGCGUAAAGCGCACGUAGGCGGACUGUUAAGUCGGGGGUGAAAUCCUGGGGCUCAACCCCAGAACUGCCCUCGAUACUGGCGGUCUUGAGUGUGGAAGAGGUUGGUGGAACUCCGAGUGUAGAGGUGAAAUUCGUA